rnacentral:pre_miRNA from 1 species
UAGACAGAUCAUUGUAUUCGACUGUACUCACGGCAUGAAAUAGGGGAUUACACUAUUUUUAAAUGGAAAGUGAAUUUAACAUAAUAGACUCCU